UCGGGGCGACAGGAUUCGAACCUGCGACCCCUUGGUCCCAAACCAAGUGCGCUACCAAGCUGCGCUACACCCCG
rnacentral:tRNA from 1 species